AUUGAACGCUGGCGGCAUGCCUUACGCAUGCAAGUCGAACGGCAGCACGGGAGCAAUCCUGGUGGCGAGUGGCGAACGGGUGAGUAAUAUAUCGGAACGUGCCCGGUCGUGGGGAUAACGUAGCGAAAGCUACGCUAAUACCGCAUACGAUCUACGGAUGAAAGCGGGGGGAUCGCAAGACCUCGCGCGAUUGGAGCGGCCGAUAUCAGAUUAGGUAGUUGGUGAGGUAAAGGCUCACCAAGCCGACGAUCUGUAGCUGGUCUGAGAGGACGACCAGCCACACUGGGACUGAGACACGGCCCAGACUCCUACGGGAGGCAGCAGUGGGGAAUUUUGGGACAAUGGGCGCAAGCCUGAUCCAGCAAUGCCGCGUGCAGGAUGAAGGCCUUC
rnacentral:rRNA from 1 species